UGGGAAACAUGGUGGCAUAUGUGCAG
rnacentral:piRNA from 1 species